UGUAACCUAGUGCAGAAACACUGUGGUAAUCGCGCUGGGUGGGUUAGGGUCUUGUUUUCUGUAAAAUGGCCGAAUGAAUUAAUUUUUCCUACGGUACUUUCACACUCCUGGCCUGAUUCCUUCCAACAACCCCUCAAAGCAGGUACGGAUCAUUUCCAUUUUUUGAAAAAGAAACACUGAGGCUAUGCAAGGCCUAUGAAAUGUUGCUUAUCUUCAUCCAGCCAGAGAUCAUGGGCUGAGUUGAAACAGACCAAGGGAUUGUCAAGAACCAGGGAUUGAACUCAGGACCUUGUGCUUGCCAGGCAGGCACUGGCACCACUGAGCUAAACCUCUGGCCCAAGUUCUACUGCUUUCUGCCUCUCUUGCCAUGGAUGUUUUUCUUUUGCGAUGCCCCUCUACCAUGCAACCCUGCCUUGGAGCCAGCCAACUGUGGACUGAAACCUCUACAGUGAGC
rnacentral:lncRNA from 1 species